UACGAAGGGGGCUAGCGUUGCUCGGAAUCACUGGGCGUAAAGCGCACGUAGGCGGCUUACUAAGUCAGGGGUGAAAUCCUGGAGCUCAACUCCAGAACUGCCUUUGAUACUGGUGAGCUUGAAUCCGGAAGAGGUGAGUGGAACUGCGAGUGUAGAGGUGAAAUUCGUAGAUAUUCGCAAGAACACCAGUGGCGAAGGCGGCUCACUGGUCCGGUACUGACGCUGAGGUGCGAAAGCGUGGGGAGCAAACAGG
rnacentral:rRNA from 1 species